AAUGAACGCUGGCGGCAUGCCUAACACAUGCAAGUCGAACGAGACCUUCGGGACUAGUGGCGCACGGGUGCGUAACGCGUGGGAACCUGCCCUUAGGUUCGGAAUAACUCCCCGAAAGGGGUGCUAAUACCGGAUAAUGUCUUCGGACCAAAGAUUUAUCGCCUUUGGAUGGGCCCGCGUUGGAUUAGCUAGUUGGUAGGGUAAAAGCCUACCAAGGCGACGAUCCAUAGCUGGUCUGAGAGGAAGAUCAGCCACACUGGGACUGAGACACGGCCCAGACUCCUACGGGAGGCAGCAGUGGCGAAUAUUGGACAAUGGGCGAAAGCCUGAACCAGCAAUGCCGCGUGAGUGAUGAAGGCCUUAGGGUUGUAAAGCUCUUUUACCCGGGAUGAUAAUGACAGUACCGGGAGAAUAAGCCCCGGCUAACUCCGUG
rnacentral:rRNA from 1 species